GGGGGUAUAGCUCAGCUGGCAGAGCGCUUGACUGGCAGUCAAGAGGUCGUCGGUUCAACUCCGACUAUCUCCACCA
rnacentral:tRNA from 1 species